rnacentral:rRNA from 1 species
CAGUAGCCACGGUAAUACGGAGGGGGCUAGCGUUGUUCGGAAUUACUGGGCGUAAAGCGCACGUAGGCGGCUUGGUAAGUUAGAGGUGAAAGCCUGGAGCUCAACUCCAGAAUUGCCUUCAAGACUGCCGAGCUAGCAGGUGAGAGAGGUAAGUGGAAUUCCGAGUGUAGAGGUGAAAUUCGUAGAUAUUCGGAAGAACACCAGUGGCGAAGGCGGCUUACUGGCUCAUACUGGACGCUGAGGUGCGAAAGCGUGGGGAGCAAACAGGAUUAGAUACCCCUGUAGUCCCUGUCUCUUAUAC